GUAGAAGGACUAAUCGUUUAUUUCUUUCAUCGCCCCAAACAUACCAAUAUUAGCACGGAUAGUUCGUAAAUGUAACUCAUUGUUCAAACAACUAUUCAAAGUUGCUAGAGCUCCUUGUAAGGCUUGUUGAAAAACGCGUUGUCUGACUUGAUUAAUCGCUCUUUGUUGUUCAAACUGAAUGGUUUCAUUUUAGGAAUUUUCUAAUCGUUCCAAAUUCUGAUAAGUUGAAUUAAUCAAAUUCCUUUUUUCUCGUUCUAUCUCGGAGUAUCCAUUCACUCGAAACUCAUCCACCUCCAUUUUGGCUUUCCGUAAGCGGGCCUUGGCUUUUUCCAACUUUUCUAUGGCCCCUUCGUGCAGCUCUUCUGAAUUUUGAAUAGUACUCAAAAUUAUCUGUUUUCGAUUAUCUAAUAAAUCACUUAAUGAAAGUAGAUUAUCUUCUCAUUCAUUUCCAAAAUUCCAUGAUCUUUUCCCGAACCAAACAUGAAUCUUUCAAUUCAUUUGGCUUUCACGCUCACUUACUUUCGGGGCUUUCCCAUAUCUUUUUUUUAUUUAUGGAAUGAGCAUAUCCUCUCUUCUCUGUUCGGAUUCCCAAAUAUGGAAAGGGAUCGUUGAUCCAAGACCAGAAUAUUCGGCGGACUCUUCCGACCAGAGAAAAAAUCUGUAAUUAUCGGCAAAGUUGUUUCUUUUUCUUCAAAUCCAAAAAUUUCGCUUACUUUAUACAUAGGUCGUCAAUUCUGUAUUGGAUAAAAAGGGAUGGGAUUCCCAUUUUUCUAGCUCCAGUAAAGGGUUAAAAUCAUUUUAUCCAUAUGAGUGUUCUAUAUCGGAUAAAAUGCAACUAUUCAUUUUGAAACCAUUUCCAUACUAACAUAGUGGUAGAAAGAGUACCCAUGUUGCGCCCAGACUUCAAAAAAUUUAGCUUUAACCAUGUUUAGGUUCCCCUAUUAUUGGUUAAUAGAGAAUCAAAGUUUAUUUACUAAUGAAUCACGAAAGGCUAUGGUUCGUACAUAUGAUUUCUUAAUCUAUUCAGAAGUAAUUCGCGAGAUCGUGCACCCUUCUUUCCUAGUGAUUAAGAAUAAAGUGCAGCUGGUUAGAUCCAGCUUAUUCUUGAAAUAAACAACAUGCACACAAUCCCUUUCCAAAAAAAAAUCAAUACACCCAGGACUACACUUAGAUUUAUUGGAUUUGUUGCUAAAAUAUCGGUAUUAAACCCGAAACUCCCAGCGG
rnacentral:lncRNA from 1 species